UGUGUACCGGUGGGGUCCCUCAGCCUGGCCUGCACCCUCUUGCAAUCCAGAACCCCUCCGGGGAUGUCGGAGAGUCAGUUUCAGCCUGAUCCCUGCAGGCCAGGCUGAGGGACCUCACCGGUGCACA
rnacentral:pre_miRNA from 1 species